rnacentral:rRNA from 1 species
GACAGAGGGUGCAAACGUUGCUCGGAAUUACUGGGCGUAAAGCGCGUGUAGGCGGACCAGCAAGUCGGACGUGAAAUCCCUGAGCUCAACUCAGGAACUGCAUCCGAAACUGCUGGUCUGGAGUGGUGGAGAGGGAAGCAGAAUUCCUGGUGUAGAGGUGAAAUUCGUAGAUAUACAGGAGGAACACCGGUGGCGAAGGCGGCUUCCUGGACGACUUACUGACGCUGAGACGCGAAAGCGUGGGGAGCAAACAGG